rnacentral:rRNA from 1 species
CCUACGGGAGGCAGCAGUGGGGAAUUUUGCGCAAUGGGGGCAACCCUGACGCAGCAACGCCGCGUGAGUGAUGAAGGCCUUCGGGUCGUAAAGCUCUGUCAGAGGGGAAGAAAUGCAGGUGGUGAACAACCAUUCUGUUUGACGGUACCCUCAAAGGAAGCACCGGCUAACUCCGUGCCAGCAGCCGCGGUAAUACGGAGGGUGCGAGCGUUGUUCGGAAUUAUUGGGCGUAAAGCGCGUGUAGGCGGUUUGUUAAGUCUGAUGUAAAAGCCCCGGGCUCAACCUGGGAAGUGCAUUGGAUACUGGCAGACUUGAGUACGGGAGAGGAGAGUGGAAUUCCCAGUGUAGGAGUAAAAUCCGUAGAUAUUGGGAGGACCACCGGUGGCGAAGGCGGAUCUCUGGGCCUGUCCUGACGCUGAGGCGCGAAAGCUAGGGAAGCGA